UACAGAGGUCUCAAGCGUUGUUCGGAUUCAUUGGGCGUAAAGGGUGCGUAGGCGGCGCGGUAAGUCGGGUGUGAAAUCUCGGAGCUUAACUCCGAAACUGCAUUCGAUACUGCCGUGCUUGAGGACUGGAGAGGAGACUGGAAUUUACGGUGUAAGCGGUGAAAUGCGUAGAUAUCGGGAGGAACACCAGUGGCGAAGGCGGUUGCCUGGAGCUUUGCUGACGCUGAUGCGCGAAAGCGUGGGGAGCGAUCCGG
rnacentral:rRNA from 1 species